UGAAAAGGUCAAGAAAAGCAGUAGCUCAGUGGCUGAAUUUUUCUGAAGCAGGGAAAGUGGGGAAACCUCUUAAAGUGGUGUCUUAUUCAAUCCUGGAGCACAGGGAAAGAGUUUUAAUGCAAAAUACCAGAAAAAAAAGUCUGCAACAUCUCCCGUGAGAGUGGGGGAAAAAGGAGAUUAACAAUUGCAUCUUGAAACACUCAUGAUUUGAGGCCAUAUGUGUCCUUUGAACUCUGAAGAAGCUGUGCCAAAAGGAAGCCUUCUUCUCCUCCCCUCCUCCCACCGUGGAGCCGCUCUUAGAUAAUUGCAAUUAGCAGACAAUGCGGAGCGAACCCAAAUGUGAAGUUCAUGGGUGAGUGUCUGCAAAUUUCCUGAGAGCUUCAGAAACGCUGGCGCUCGGUCUCCGCUGUUGCCCUGUAACCCCGCAGCAGCUCGCGGAGUCCGAAGCAGCUCUGGGAGGUGUCGGUGACCCGCAUUUUCCGAGCGGCGCUGCUGAAGCCCGGCGGGGCGCCGCGCCUCGGGCAGGGCUCUGCGCGCACGGAGGCGGAGCUGCCGUCCCCGCGCUACGGCACCGGCAGCGGGGAAGGAACACCUCACCCUCUCAAAGACGAGGUGGGAGAAUUGCUGCUUGUGGUGCCCGAGGAAAGCAGGUUCCCUCUGCUCAUGUGCUGCUGGGCACCGGCCCGAGCGAUCGCUGGCACGUCGGGCUUUGGUGUUCAAAGGGAAUGUCCUCCGUGGAGAGAGGUGACAAGUGCCUUUUGUGUCCCUCCCCUCUUUAGCCUCUGAGAAGUGUCUUCUGCGUUAAACCAGGUUUCUGACCUCAUUUCUCAAAGGAGUUUUAAAUGAGGAGAAAUAGGAGUAUUAAUUAGUGCCCCGUUAAGUACUUGUAGUCAAGUAUGAUAAUUUUCUUGAAAGGAUAAUGUAUUAGAUGAAUAAAAAUACUCUCCAUUAAAAAAUGAAUACAAAGUCAUUUUAAACCACAAAGAUUAUGGUACAUUUCUGAAAAAUUAAUGUGAUUAAAGCAAAAUAUAUUUAAUAAAUUAAAAAGACCCUGUAAGGCUGUUUAACUUGUUGGUCUCAUAUUAACUAUUUUCAAAUCUAGUGCGAGAGAACUUCGACCUUACCUGCAGGGAUGGGAAGUGAUUUCUUCCGUCACUUAAUUUUUUGGCUUGUAAUUAUUAGGUCCGAGUUGUGGGUGUGGUGAUUUUAGCUUGUUUCGGUUUUUGUUGUUGUUUUGUUUGUUUGUUUGUUUGAGUGUUGUGCGAGUUUUUUUGCGUUUCUGGUAUCUUUCUCAGAGAUAGGUCACAGAAUAAAAACAGACUUUAGACAGUGAUCAGAAAUUAUAUGAAGAUUUCCUUGAUGGAUUUAGUUAAUGUGACCUACUCAUGUGCUGCUGUCUGGAUUUGGAGACCUCCAAAUAGCUGAAUAUUUUCAAGGAUGUUUCCUCCUGUUUGGUUUGUCUGUGAUGUGGUAUAGAUUGUGUCUGCUAGGAUCACAUAGACUUCCUUCAGUUACUUCAUGUGACUUCACACAAAUUAUAUUAAUUUUUUCCACAUAUAGUUUGCCCCUUAGAUUAUUUUUGGUUUAGGAACUUCCUUAACUCUCUACUGAGCUUUUACACAUUGAACUACUUAAUGAGAAUUGCUCUGUAUGUUGUGGAAGACAAUAAAGUAAUGAUUGGAGCUGGAGACAUAACCCAGAUUUAUGAGUUUGCCUGGUCAUUUAUGAAGUUUAUGUAUUGACUUAGGGAGGACAUAAAAAGCUCUGUGUAAAACUGGGUUUGCAUAGUAGCCUGUUUAAAAAACUUUGGGUUUUGUAGCAUUAGGAAUGAAGGCACUUCCUCACCAGUCUCAGCAAAAAC
ensembl:lncRNA